GUAAAAGAGAAUAUUAUUGGCUUUUUAGUUAAUUUUUUUAAUUUAAAUUAGUUUAGUUUUUAGGUGGAAUUUAUAACUAGAUUAUAAUAUUAUAUUUUAUUAUGAUACUAUGAAACUUAUAAUAUAAACAAGGAUUAGAUACCCUUUUAUUUUAAGUAUUAAUUUUUGCCUGGGUAGUAACAGUUAUGUUCUUGAAACCCAAAGGAUUUGGCGGUAUUUUAGUCUUUUCAGAGGARCCUGUCCUGUACGAUUCAAUUUACUWUKACUUGUUUUAUCAGUUUGUAUAUCUCCGUCAUAAGAGAGUCUUUUUAGAGUAAAUUUUCCUUUCCUUUAAAUAAGAAUAUGUCAGGUCAAGGUGCAAUUUAUGUAAAAGUGGAGGUGGGUUACAAUAUAUUUAUAUAUAUGGAUUGAUGUUUUUAUAAUUUCAUGAAGGNGGAUUUGAUAGUAAAUCUGAUUGUUAAUCAGUUUGAUUUUGGCUCUAAAAUAUGCACACAUCGCCCGUCGGCUCUCACUUUAAAGUGAGAUAAGUCGUAACAUAGUAGACGUAUCGGAAGAUGUGUCUAGUAAGAAUUUAU
rnacentral:rRNA from 1 species